GGAAGGAAACACUUUCUAUAUGACUCUAGCGGCUGGGGGGAACACUUACUCUAGCCCUUCCUAUGCGUGGUCUCGGGGCGCGCCGCGUAGAACCGGCGCGAGAGACACCGGCGAACACCUCCUCCGCGGUUCCAGCAGCCGUACAGACCGAGAGGACGACGCAGGGAGGGCGCAUGCGCAGCCCACGUCCUGCCUCCCGGCGCACGUUUUACGUCCCCAACGGGGAGGCGGGGCCGCAGCUUGCGCGUGCGCAGGCGCACUAAGCCGGGAGGCGUUUCUCGGAGAGUAAACCACCCAAGGAAAGUGUACGGAAUCUUUGGUGGCGAGUCCUUCGUAUUAAUGCUGAACUUGGACGUCCUAAGUUUUCUCUUCCACCCCUGUUUGUGAAGAAUCUGGGGAGUUUGUGAGUGCAAAUAUAUAUAUAUAUAUAUUUCAGCUGUGUGCGGUUGCCACGCUACACCUUCUCCCUCCGGGUAAAUGGAAUUUCAAAACUUACGGAAAAGUAAAAGGAACUCAGAAAAGUGCAGACUUGGCCCCAAGGUCCAAACUACGGCCCGCUUUGCUCCUACCUUAUCCGCACUCAGACGCCACACGCUUUUUGGAGCUGGUCUGUCCAGAAGCUGUUUCUUAAGAACGACUGGUCAUAGUGCGUGUGGGCCUUGAGUAACAUGCCCAGCUGUUUUCUGCGCUUAAUUAACCAAAUCUGCAUGAUCUGAUUAACCCAGAUGUUAGAACAUUGAUCCCAGAGAAAGAAGAAACCAUCUGUGGAAUUUAUCCCUGGAUGGACCUCUCAGUUGCUUGAUCUGAUAUCCUGAGAAUCCCAGAAACCAAGGUUGGCAGACUCAGCUUUCCGCAGCUCAGUAGCCUGUGAAAUGUUUACGGGGAGCAAUUGGGUCUCAGUAGUUUAGGACGGGACCGUCACUGUCAAAGCUGAGCUGAAAGCUGAGAAUUGGGGAAGUGGGGAAGGACUGUUCUACUAUGACCGACCUUGAUUGAAUAGCUACAGAAUUCAUUGGAGAACCCAGCAGCUUUUCACUGAGCAAGGAACGGAUCACACUAAAGUGUUCCUUCUCCUGGGUGUUAACACAGAAACAUCAUUUCGAGACAGGAGGCAACUUUACCUUGCAUUCUUCCCUUUCCUCAUUUUGUAGCGGAAAAUAUCUUGAGUACUUGACAGCAAGAAAAUGAAUAAUACCCACUCCUGAGCAACCUGAGGGUAGGAACUUUGCAUAUAAAUCAGGGGCCCGAUAGUUACCUCCCUCAAAAAAAAAAAAGAAAGAAAAGAAAAGGAAGGUAGAAGCUAUCAGCAAAGUCCUAAAAUACCACGUAUAUUGUCAAAACAACUUUAAUUUGAAAAGUCAGUUCCACCUUGUAAAGUUUUCAGCACCGCUCCCGCCUAACAUUGGGGUGGAAGGUUUUGAAACGACGUCAAAAGUAAUUCAUAACAAAACCCAAACGCAGCAACUGCUUUCUGUACUCCAACCUGCCCAGAGUACCUGGAGCGCCGGAAAGUGGAUCCGCGCUCCGUCCUCCCCUAUGGGCCGAAGCUCUGCAUGCCUCCCUCCCCACUUUAAGCCCCUAGUCUCGAGUCUCGAGCGCAGGAGAUGCCCAGAGAAAAGCAGGGUCACUCACCGGUGAGGAGCCAGCAGCAGGCGACAGCGACCCCUGGGCUGGCGCGGCGCCGGGGGGCCAUAGUUGGAGCGGCCGCAGCGCCCGGGGGACGCGCUGGAUCGGAGGGAAGGACUCGGCGAAACCACGCGCUGGAGCCUCGUUGCUCUGGGCCACUCCGCCCGCUGCCGUGGGUCUCAGUCGCUGGCCCCGCUGGCCCCGGCGCCUGGGAGCAGCACAGCGAUUUCCUGUGUUUUCGACCAGCCCCUCUAAGUUCGCUUCAAGCUUCUCGCAUCCCAGAGGGAUUGCCACAUCUCCCCGCCGUUCGCACUCUCGGGCUCUGAAAUCCCACUGGCAGCCUCCCAGGCUCUUUCCGAGACAUGGACAAAUAAAGCCAGCUUCGCGGGUCCUUGUUUAGGCUAAAGUCCACGAGCUGCGAAGCAAACCUUAAAGGGACAUCUGCCUUUCAUUGAGAGGGUGAUUCCGCUCCCCGCGCCAACUCCCCAAGGUAGUAGGAACGCAGCCGAGGGCCGGACCUUCGGAGGGUGUCUCCAGCCCAGUGGCUCCGCCUUCGCACCCCUCACUUCUCCCCGGGUCUGGGCACUGAGGGCACUUUCAAAGUGCCGGGCUCCUAGGCCCUUAAAGGGAGGCUGCUUUUCUGGGGUCCGAUUGCGCAGAAGGGAUCGGUCCGUUUAUGCAAGUGAGCAGAUCUGGUAACCCUCGUGCCUCUCCUGUGGACACUUGAACUUCGCUGUCCAGUCUUCUCGCACUAAUAGUGGGUGGGGGCGUCCACCCCGACACGCCCCGCUGAGGGCUUGGCUUUCACUUAUGGAGGGUUUCCUUCCUUUAUGGCGAUUCGUGGUCGCAGGGAGGCUUUUCUUUGGGAAGACUGUGAUAAGCUGGGGGAAAGGAGAACCAAGACUGGGGGAAAACAAGAAAGAAAGAAAUGCAAGAGGGAAGCGGGAGGGGAAGGAAGGGAGGAAAACAGUCUCGUUAGAAAUGGAAUGUGUGUGGGCAAUUUUGUUUAAUCUGAAUUAGGAUGUUUGUACACUGGAAGUUGAAUCUAAUAAAGA